rnacentral:lncRNA from 13 species
CUGAAAAGUGUAGCGGCCUUGCCUUUGUGCGAGCGUGUGCGUGCAAGUGCUGACGAGAGGUGGUAACCAUGGCAAUGGCCGGCAUGGAGCUGCUGUCUCUCUCUCAGCUAGGGAGAGUAUGAGUCAUGACGCUUAUCAGCUUCCUGCGGACACCAACAACUUACACUGACCUCCCCACAUCUCAUUAAAUGUUGUUUGUGUGUGUGUGUGUGUGUGUGUGUGUGUGUGUGUGUGUUGAAAACAUGUGUAACCAUCUAUGUGAUAAACAAAAUUACAAUAAUCGUUAUAACAGUUUUUAUUCCAGCUAAAAUGACACUGUACAGUGGUUGACACAUUCUUGUGGAAGUAGAAAAUUGGCAGUGUGCUGACAGAUGGUUUACUCAGAGCUGAUAUGAAAUUCACAGCAUAGCAUGAUUUUUAUGCAGUGAAAGCCAUGUCCUUUUCGAUUUGAGAGUCUGUUCACAUGAGAUUGACCAGAUGCAGGGAACCUUCGCGAUGCUCAGAGAUAACCUAACCUCAAACAUCCUAUGAGUGUGUGAAAUGACAUCUAAGACACCCGUUUCACACUAAACUGUCUGCUGCUGUCCUGUGUAAGUGGUGGAACAAGUCUAAAAGUGCUCAUGUGUGUAUUUCCAGCCACCCACACAUCAACACACACAGAACACACCAAACCAGGUUGUGGCUAGAUGUUAGGAGGUUAAAAUGGACCACAAUACCAUCUUCCAGUCAGCUAGCCAUUCUAAACCGUUGUGACAUGAGACAGACUGACUAAUACUGCCACCACAACACACACGUAUAUACAAACAUGAUUACACACACACACAGCAUCUUCUAUGUCUUUCCCUAUGCCUCCAAGCCCUGUCCUGUCUGUCUCUCAGUGUGUCUCUGUGUACAGGUGAAGGAUCAUCUCUCAGUGUGUCUCUGUGUACAGGUGAAGGAUCAUCUCUCAGUGUGUCUCUGUGUACAGGUGAAGGAUCAUCUCUCAGUGUGUCUCUGUGUACAGGUGAAGGAUAAUCUCUGUGUGUCUCUGUGUACAGGUGAAGGAUAAUCUCUGUGUGUCUCUGUGUACAGGUGAAGGAUCAUCUCUCAGUGUGUCUCUGUGUACAGGUGAAGGAUCAUCUCUCAGUGUGUCUCUGUGUACAGGUGAAGGAUCAUCUCUCAGUGUGUCUCUGUGUACAGGUGAAGGAUCA